rnacentral:lncRNA from 1 species
ACGGUGGUGUGCGGAGUGUUUACCGGCGAAGGUGAUGAAGAAAGUGUGGUGGAGAGGAAAAGCUAAACAACUUUUCUUUUUCUCUGUUUUCUUUUCGUGAGUGUGUAGUAGGGAGAGAGAUUCGUGAGUGGGUCUGUGAGGAUGUGAGAGGUAUAUGUGGAUCAUAAAUGAGUGGUGGUGUGUAGUGUUAAGAGAGAGCAAGCUGGAUAUCAUUACCGUUGGAGAUAUCCGUUGGUACCAGC